AAGUGAAGCAGACGGAAUCUCCCUGUUCAUUUCUUUUCUUUAAUUAUGGAGAGAUGGUACACGAGAAUAGUCCAGCAGAAUAUUUCAUUCGUGACCAAGACUAUACGAAUGCUUGCACUUCUCAAAAAGCGAAAGGCAUGUUUCUUUGGCAGCUAAAGAGGACUAUUCUCUUCCACUUCGCCUAAAAGAAGAGUUUAUUUCAUAUUUGUGUGUCUGCACGCACUUCGGCAAGUUUCAAAUUGAUAAAACUCUUCGACGGCGAGCUUCGUGUUUGUACAUUAUCGGGUGAAUCGUCAAGUCUGCCGGUAACAUCUAAAAUUUUGGAAAAAGAAUUGCCUAAGUUGAUUGCACACAUAUACAGGUCUUGGGCUACCUGAACUUUUGUACAUAUGAAGAUGGAACCCGCUUUCUUGCUUUUUGAAUCACAAGAUGAAUGAAAGAAUUAAACAGACCAGAGGGAGCUUCACUAUGAAAUCAUUCUUGUGGAUGAUAGUAGCCCUGAUGGACACAAUUUGCGAUGAGACGCCUAUAGGAUGCUCAGGUGAAGACCAUACGUAAACAAAUGGGGACUGGCGCAAGUAUUGUCAGAGGCAGGGGAUACGCAAUGGUUGGUGGUGCGCAGAGAUGAACCAUCGUGCGCAAGAUUACAAGAAGGGAAACCAAUGUGCUUCCUCAAACAUUUCUUUGGUUGGGAGUUUCAGAAUUGGCAUGUUCUUUCAUGUGCCGCACUGAUCAUGUAAAUGUAAGCAGAAUGGAGGUAAAGAUUUUCCUUCUUCAUUUCGUGAAAACUGGUCUUAACAGGUUCCCCGAAUUCAGUUUCGGAAUCUUUUGAUCACUUCCUGUGCAAAGGAUUUAGACUGACGUG